rnacentral:rRNA from 1 species
GAUGAACGCUGGCGGCGUGCUUAAUACAUGCAAGUCGAACGGAGUAUGUAGCAAUACGUACUUAGUGGCGAACGGGUGAGUAACGCGUUGGUGACCUGCCUCGAAGAGAGGGAUAACAGUCCGAAAGGACUGCUAAUACCUCAUGUGAUCAUAGGGUUUAGAAGCCUGUGAUUAAAGGAGUAAUUCACUUCGAGAGGGACCUGCGUACCAUCAGCUAGUUGGUGAGGUAACGGCCCACCAAGGCGAUGACGGUUAGGGGACCUGAGAGGGUGGCCCCCCACAAUGGAACUGAAACACGGUCCAUACACCUACGGGUGGCAG